CUGGAGAUUAGAAAAAAACGAAUUUGGAAAAUCUUCGGAAUUGGAAGAUACCGCGGCGACGAGAUGGAGAACCGAUGCUUCCCAUCGCUUCUCCUGCUAUUCUACCUCUCCUUCUCCAUCGUCGAUCCAGCCUCCGCCUUCCUUGAUCCUGCUCUCGGAACCACUCGCGUCGUCUUCCAGGACUCGGGUUCGGGACGAGCGUCUCGACGUGGGAGUACUUGACACGAUCUACGUAUAAAAGCGGGUAGUAGGUAAAGGAUUUAUGGAGUCGCCUGGAGAUCCUAUCCGACAGUCUCAUGUCACACCGAGCUUCCCGUACCAUUAGUGCUUCUAUAUGUUUUAUUUUGGUUUUGUAAUUAUUCGUGUACUUAUAUCUUUUAUAUGGAGUUUGGCUUUGUAGUAUCUAGUAUUUGGUUUGAUGUGGUGGUUGUCGUGUCAAGCCGAGCCGGCUCGUAGUUGGUUGUAUUGUGAUUUUGUGAUCGUUAUUUGUGAUUUCCGCUAUGUUUUAUUUUCAGCCGUGUGUGCUGUUUAAUAUAUAUAUAACUGCGUGGUUGUGUUU